rnacentral:rRNA from 1 species
AAUCAACGCUGGCGGCGUGCCUAACACAUGCAAGUGGAGCGACGAACCGGGCUUCGGCCCGGGGCAGAGCCGCGAACGGGUGAGUAACACGUGGGUAACCUGCCCUGAUGAUCGGGACAACCCGAGGAAACUCGGGCUAAUACCGAAUGUGCCCUCUGGCCUCAAGGCCUCUGGGGAAAGGAAGCUUCGGCCUCCGCAUCGGGAUGGGCCCGCGGCCCAUUAGCUUGUUGGUGAGGUAAAGGCNCACCAAGGCAACGAUGGGUAGCUGGUCUGAGAGGACGAUCAGCCACACUGGGACUGAGACACGGCCAGACUCCUACGGGAGGCAGCAGUGGGGAAUCUUGCGCAAUGCGCGAAAGCGUGACGCAGCAACGCCGCGU